rnacentral:lncRNA from 10 species
ACAAGGAGAAGGUGGGCCCAGCAAGCCCAGAGGACACAGCCACCAGGACUGUCACCCACUCCUGGGGAAGGGCGGGAAGGUGCUGUCUCCGGGGUUGUCAGAAAAGUCCAGAAUCCUCCUGGAGUUGAAGUCUCUCUGCGGGGCCAGGAUGGCGAGGAACUGGAACCCUGGAGCCUGUCAUGUUACUCCAAGGCUGACUAGUCCCAGUCCCCAGUGAGAAGCAAGGAGAACCUGAUACAGGCGGUGGCCCGGCUUGGAAUGAGCAGAACAACCUAGACCCGUCUGGCUUUGGGAGUCAGAGGCUCGGCUUCAAAUCCCAGCUCCACCUUGGUCACCUGCAGGACCCUGAGCCGUAGAGGAUUAACCCAGUCGGCGUGCAGGGGGCGUGGCCUGUGCCUCACUGCAGGUACCCCUCCUGUCCCUCCCGCAGCACUGAUGACAGGCCGGCUGUGCUGGGCACCGAGAAUGCACCGGCCCUGCUCUCGCAGGGCCCACAGACCAGGGAGGGAGGAAGAUCAUAAAUAAAUGAAGUGAGCAAGGCACCGUGCAUGUAUUCUACCAGUGUCUACAGAGCCCAUGCUCUGAGCCAGGCACUAGUCUAGUAAAUAAACAUCGCUAACGUGUUUCAGA